rnacentral:tRNA from 1 species
GAGAAAGUAAUUUAUUGAAAAUAUUUAAUUGCAAAUUAAAAAAAGAAUCCAUUUCCUUUCUUU